rnacentral:misc_RNA from 1 species
CCGCAGCACUGGUAUGCGCGCAUAUCGGCGCACUCUCAUCCCGAACUCUUCCUCUCACUCCUGGGCACUCGCUUGCUCUUCACUCGAAACGCAUACACACGCACACUCACACACGUGAUCGCGUCUGCUCGCCAACGUAGGUGAGUAGACAGCCAAGAGAAGCAUUCGCCGCCGGCAGAGAAGCACAAGACUGAACAGAGGUGCGGUCGUGGCGUACAAAGCCGGUGACUUCCCUCUCGUCACCACACCUCCUGCUCUCGCGCGCGUUCUCGCUCCUCGCGGGCCUCCCUUGCCGCCUUUUAAAGCAUCUAGUGGGCCUGCUAAGCACGUGCUGUUCAGCGUGGGAAAGGCGGCGACCGUGUCAUCACAGCCCCACCUGUCUUAUCGCCGAGCCCCUUUUUCCUGCGUCCCCAUUUUCCUCUUUGCCCCUCGUAGCGUCUGCGCCAGAGCCGUGAUGAAUCGACUAGCGGCAUUGAGGGCAAGGUCCGCGAGCUCUGCAGCCCCACACCUCGAUGCUGGGAGUGAGGGGUACGAGGCACCGCACGAGUACAUGCACGACUGCGAAGACACUUGCAGCUCGCAUCUCAGAGACGCGCGGGGGAGUGACGGCGGCUUCCAGCACUGCGGCAGCGAAGAUAGCGCCAGCGACGGCAACAACGACUCGGACCACGACAGCCACAAGGACGACGGCGGAGGCGGCGAUGGCAACGAUGAGCCGCGCGACGAACCUUACUUUCGGGCUUCAGGUGACGUAGACGAGGCCUCCAGAGUCACGCUGAGCGCCGCGCUCCUCAGUGACCUCGAGACCUCACACAUCUCCCCAACGCCUCAUGCGGAGCAGCAGACGCAGAGCAAGGCCAGCGACUGUUGCGUCUGCGGGACGCACGCCAUGUACACGUGCCCCGGCUGUGGGCGUCGGACGUGCAGCAUGAUAUGCGUACGGGUGCACAAAGAAGACUUCAAGUGCACCGGUGUGCGGGAUGUAGCCGUCAAGGUGCCGCUCAGCGAAUUCACGGAUCGGCAACUGCAGCGCGACUACCACUUCCUAGAGAACUGUCGUCGCGUCAUCGACAACAUCGAGCGCUGCUUUCCCCGUACGUCAUGGCGGUACAACUACAAGGCGCUGCCUCCUCCCCUGCACGCCUUGCGUGAAGCGGCGCGGCGCCGCGGUGUCAUCUGCCAGAUCAUGUCGGAGGGGAUGCGCAAACGAGACGAGAACACGAGUCGGCUUGAUCGCAAGACGAACACGAUUGUGUGGCGUUGCGAGUUUGAAUUUAGGAGCGCUCAUGACGGGGCUGAGGUGACGACCAUCUCCACAGACUGGGGCAGCGAGCGCCACCGGCUUGGCGACAUUCUCAAGUACUGCUGGGCCACCAACCCGCCACUUCUCUGUUACCACAUCAACCGGCGGUACAACCGGGCUUCCAAAUACGUGGGCGAAUCAGCGACAAAGACCGCGAAGGGUGGCGAGGGAGAGGUGCCCAACGAAACGGACCCGACGCCGCACGACAGUGCGGCGGCACCGCUGGAAACUGCAGCGGAUGCCGGAUCGGCAGCGGCACCCCCUACAGGUGUGGAUGUCUUGCCCACGGCAGAGGUAACGAGGGUGGCGAGCGACGAGGGUGAGGGCGAUGUACCACCGCCUACGGUCGCCGCUGUAGAGGCUGAGGCCGCAGCAAGCAGAAGGGAAUGUCCACUGAGUGCCCCGGCAGAGCUGCUCCCGCUGCGCGCCUACGAGGUGGUGUUGCCAAUGCCGCCUAUCGAGCCAGUGACCCCACGAGAGGCGCAGCAUCAAGCGUUCGUGCAGGACUUCCUGACACGGGAAAAGUAUGUGAUUUUGUCCAAGGCGGAACGGCUGGGCAACAACGCGCGGUACUUCUUGCUCGACCCUUACGAUACCCUCAACGAGAAUCUGCGCCGGCUUUUCUUCGUCAGCGAGUUCCCUGUGUUCGUUGUCGUGCAUGCAUCCGAGCUGCACCGCUUCACCCUCGUAACGGAGGAAGACAAGGAGGCAAUUCGCAGCAGUUUCCGCUCGAAGAAGACUCGCGAGCCGCGCGAGCGGCCGCAGAUGCGCAAGCGGAGCGAGAUGGAGCCGGAGGAAUUGGAGCGUCUGAGUCGCGUGCCGUGCCGGCGCUUCCUUCAGGGCCGCUGCCUGAACGCCGAGGAGUGCCCCUACUGGCACUGCACGCCAAACGAGAUUCCAGUGUGCCGCACGUUUCUCCGGUUUGGGGAGUGCGAUAAGGGGACGCGGUGCAGUUUCCGCCACGAUGCCGAUGCGGUGCGGAUCGCCCGCAAGCGUCAGCGCGACGGCCUCGGCGAAAACGGUAGUCCGAUGCGUGGUCGUGGCAUGGGCCGCGACCGCGGCUUCGGCUUCGGCCGGUUGCUUGAUGGCGCCCGAGGACGCGGUGGCAUGGGCGGCGGCUUCUACGAACCGCGUCACCGCACCGAGUAAGAGUGGUAAUAUAAGCGCCACCAACUGCGCGGCGCAUCCCCCCUCCACCUCCCUUCUCUGCGGAGGGUGGUGGAGAUGCCACGACGCAAGGGAGAGAGCGUGUGGAGUCCCCUAAGCGAUGGCACUGAAGGUGGUGUGCCGGGGCGUGGGCUAGUGACUGCUGCUCUCGGUAACUUUCAACUAGUUUCUACGUGUAACGGGUGCGUGCGCGCGCCGGCAUUUAAACCACCACCAAAGAAGAAGGAAAAGAGCGCAGCUCCUGUCUUGCCGUUUCUUCCCGACCCAACCGCUCCCCACGAACACACGCGUCUUGGGUGUGCGUGUCCGUAUGCCAACUGCUCCGUUUGCCUUUCUGUGGCCUAUGUCUACUGUGGACUCCGCACCUCCCUCUCCUUCUGCACAGUGUGAGAUGUUGUGCCCGCAGCUGUGUGCAUGCACCUCCAGGUCUCCUCUCCGCAGCCCCAACGGACAGAUGGGCCCUGUGCAGCGCUUUUCCACCAGCCCACAUGUUCCUUAACGUACGGGGGCAGCCGCGGCGUCGUUGAGUCUCCCCCUCCCUUUCUCUGUCUCUCUUCUCUCCUCUCUCGCGAACGUUCCCUCGCGUAAG